rnacentral:rRNA from 1 species
GACGAACGCUGGCGGCGUGCUUAACACAUGCAAGUCGAACGGAAAGGCCCUGCGUUUGUGGGGUGCUCGAGUGGCGAACGGGUGAGUAACACGUGAGUAACCUGCCCUUGACUUUGGGAUAACUUCAGGAAACUGGGGCUAAUACCGGAUAGGAGCUGCUGCUGCAGGGUGGGGGGUGGAAAGUUUCGGCGGGUGGGGUUGGACUCGCGGGUUAUCAGCUUGUUAGUGGGGGAGUGGCUUACCAAGGCUGUGACGGGUAGGCGGCCUGAGAGGGUGAACGGCGACAUUGCGCCUGAGAUACGCACCAGACUCCUAUGUGAGGCAGUGGGCGGGAAUAUUACACAACGGGCGCAAGCGUGAUGCGGCAGCGCCGCGGUUGGGAUGACGGCCUUCUGGUUGUAAACCGCUUUAGCCUGUGACGACGCGGGUGUGACGGUAAUGAGUAAAUAAGCACCGGCUAACUACGUG